UCAGAGGGUAGUUUAAUUUAGAAUUCUAGCUUUGGGAGCUAGUGGUGGGAGUUAAAAUCUCUUCCCUCUGAG
rnacentral:tRNA from 1 species